rnacentral:rRNA from 1 species
AGAGUUUGAUCCUGGCUCAGGAUGAACGCUAGCUACAGGCUUAACACAUGCAAGUCGAGGGGCAUCAGGAAGAAAGCUUGCUUUCUUUGCUGGCGACCGGCGCACGGGUGAGUAACACGUAUCCAACCUGCCCUUUACUCGGGGAUAGCCUUUCGAAAGAAAGAUUAAUACCCGAUGGCAUAAUGAUUCCGCAUGGUUUCAUUAUUAAAGGAUUCCGGUAAAGGAUGGGGAUGCGUUCCAUUAGGUUGUUGGUGAGGUAACGGCUCACCAAGCCUUCGAUGGAUAGGGGUUCUGAGAGGAAGGUCCCCCACAUUGGAACUGAGACACGGUCCAAACUCCUACGGGAGGCAGCAGUGAGGAAUAUUGGUCAAUGGACGAGAGUCUGAACCAGCCAAGUAGCGUGAAGGAUGACUGCCCUAUGGGUUGUAAACUUCUUUUAUAUGGGAAUAAAGUUUUCCACGUGUGGAAUUUUGUAUGUACCAUAUGAAUAAGGAUCGGCUAACUCCGUGCCAGCAGCCGCGGUAAUACGGAGGAUCCGAGCGUUAUCCGGAUUUAUUGGGUUUAAAGGGAGCGUAGGUGGAUUGUUAAGUCAGUUGUGAAAGUUUGCGGCUCAACCGUAAAAUUGCAGUUGAAACUGGCAGUCUUGAGUACAGUAGAGGUGGGCGGAAUUCGUGGUGUAGCGGUGAAAUGCUUAGAUAUCACGAAGAACUCCGAUUGCGAAGGCAGCUCACUGGACUGCAACUGACACUGAUGCUCGAAAGUGUGGGUAUCAAACAGGAUUAGAUACCCUGGUAGUCCACACAGUAAACGAUGAAUACUCGCUGUUUGCGAUAUACAGUAAGCGGCCAAGCGAAAGCAUUAAGUAUUCCACCUGGGGAGUACGCCGGCAACGGUGAAACUCAAAGGAAUUGACGGGGGCCC